rnacentral:lncRNA from 1 species
GGAUAGUGCAAAUUAGUUAUUAUAUUAAUGUGGUUAAGAAUCAAUAUUAUAUUUUUUAGAUAAAGAAAUACAGGUAUAAAAUCAAAUAAAUUGAGUAAAUUCCUCUAUGGUUUAAUUUUAAUUGAAGUAGCAGCAUAAACUCCCCCCACCUUUUUUAAAGAAUACAUAUUUCUUUUUUUUUUAAAGAGAGAGAGAGAGAGAGAAUUUUAAUAUUUAUUUAUUUAUUUUUUAGUUUUCGGUGGACACAACAUCUUUGUAUGUGUUGCUGAGGAUCGAACCCGGGCCGCACGCAUGCCAGGCAAGCGCGCGACAGCUUAAGCCACAUCCCCAACCCAAGAAUACAUAUUUCUUUUAUUCCUUCCUUUGUGUGUGUGUGGGGGGGGGAGGGGGAGGUACUAGGGAUUGAACCCAGGGCCUCACAUAUGCCAGUCAAGCACUCUACCACAAAGAUACAUCCCCAGCCCUUAUUAAAGAUUUAAUUUUCAGACAGGAUCUUGCUACAUUUCCCAGGCUGGCCUUGCACUUGGAAUCCUCUCGUCUUAGCCUCUUAAGUAGUUGGGAUUAUAGGAGUGCACCACUGUGCCCUGCUAGGAAUACAUAUUUCUUAAGUCUGUCUACUAAAGUCUGUUAUUGUCUAGAGGCAAUGGCAUUCAAAUAGCAUUGAUCACACCAACUACCCAGAUUGUGAUCUCAAAAUACCUUUCCCAUUAAUUAGAUCCAAGGCUCUUUGGAGGAAUGGCUAGCUUGUGGAGAAAUACACAAAAUGAGCUUGGGAAAUUUCAUUAUGCCUUAAAGUAACAACUAAUGGAUCAUGUCAAAAGGCUACAGGAACCAAGUGGACACGGUAGUGCAUGCCUGUAAUCUCAGUUACUUAGAAGGCCAAAACAGGCGGAUUACAAGUUCAAGGCCAGCCUUUGCAACUUUAUUUUGAGACCUUAUCUCAAAAACUAAACAAGAGGGAUGUAGCUCAUUGGUAGAAUGUCCCUGGGUUCUAUUCCCAAUACUGCCUCCCCCAAAAAAAAUAAAAAGAAAAAAAGAUACAGAAGCCAACAUGUGAGCCAAAACUGGAGUGGUUUGGAUAGAAAAAAAAAAAGCAUCUGCAGUUUAUUGAAACCAUAUCUAAUAUUUUUUAAAAAUCGAUUCAUAUUGAUAUGAGAACAAAAAAAUAAAUAAAUGAACAAAACUAAACCCUCAUUGAGCUCCAUGAGAAGUAACUAGGGCACAAAUUUUUCCUUUGAAACUUAAAAUUCAAAAGAAAGAAUUAGGAAUUUAUCUUGUACAAACUAUUUAAGG